rnacentral:rRNA from 1 species
AUUGAACGCUGGCGGCAGGCCUAACACAUGCAAGUCGAACGGUAACAGGAAGAAGCUUGCUUCUUUGCUGACGAGUGGCGGAAGGGUGAGUAAUGUCUGGGAAACUGCCUGAUGGAGGGGGCUAACUACUGGAAACGGUAGCUAAUACCGCAUAAUGUCGCAAGACCAAAGAGGGGGAACUUCGGGCCUCUUGCCAUCGGAUGUGCCCAGAUGGGAUUAGCUAGUAGGUGGGGUAACGGCUCACCUAGGCGACGCUCCCUAGCUGGUCUGAGAGGGUGACCAGCCACACUGGAACUGAGACACGGUCCAGACUCCUACGGGAGGCAGCAGUGGGGAAUAUUGCACAAUGGGCGCAAGCCUGAUGCAGCUAUGCCGCGUGUAUGAAGAAGGCCUUCGGGUUGUAAAGUACUUUCAGCGGGGAGGAAGGGAGUAAAGUUAAUACCUUUGCUCAUUGACGUUACCCGCAGAAGAAGCACCGGCUAACUCCGUG